CGGCAUAGUCCGGGCCAGCAGCGCCGGUCGCAGGUGGGGGCCGAGCUGUGUCCUGGUUCCGUUGGCGGCAAGCGCGCGUAGGUGGCUCGUAAAGGCGGUCGUGAAAUGCCUGGGCUGAACCCCGGGAGUGCGUCCGAUACGCCCGAGCUGGGGGCAGGUAGGGGAGAUCGGAAUUCCUGGUGUGGCGGUGAAAUGCGCAGAUAUCAGGAGGAACACCGGUGGCGAAGGCGGAUCUCUGGGCCUUGCCUGACGCUGAGGCGCGAAAGCUAGGGGAGCGAACAGGAUUAGAUACCCAGUAGUC
rnacentral:rRNA from 1 species